rnacentral:rRNA from 1 species
GAUGAACGCUGGCGGCGUGCCUAAUACAUGCAAGUCGAGCGAACGGACGAGAAGCUUGCUUCUCUGAUGUUAGCGGCGGACGGGUGAGUAACACGUGGAUAACCUACCUAUAAGACUGGGAUAACUUCGGGAAACCGGAGCUAAUACCGGAUAAUAUUUUGAACCGCAUGGUUCAAAAGUGAAAGACGGUCUUGCUGUCACUUAUAGAUGGAUCCGCGCUGCAUUAGCUAGUUGGUAAGGUAACGGCUUACCAAGGCAACGAUGCAUAGCCGACCUGAGAGGGUGAUCGGCCACACUGGAACUUAGACACGGUCCAGACUCCUACGGGAGGCAGCAGUAGGGAAUCUUCCGCAAUGGGCGAAAUCCUGACGGAGCAACGCCGCGUGAGUGAUGAAGGUCUUCGGAUCGUAAAACUCUGUUAUUAGGGAAGAACAUAUGUGUAAGUAACUGUGCACAUCUUGACGGUACCUAAUCAGAAAGCCACGGCUAACUACGUG